UCCAGGUACACAAGGAGAUGAGGAUGGUCAUUGUCGUUUUCUGAGCUGCGAACGGGCAGAAAGCUACACAAGGAGAUGAGGAUGGUCAUUGUCUGUUUCUGAGCUGCAAACGGGCAGAAAGCUACACAAGGAAAUGAGGAUGGUCAUUCUCUGUUUCUGAGCUGCGAAUGGGCAGAAAGCUACACAAGGAGAUGAGGAUGGUCUUUGUCGUUUCCUGAGCUUCGAACGGGCAGAAAGCUACACAAAGAGAUGAGGAUGGUGAUUGUCUGUUUCUGAGCUGCGAACGGGCAGAAAGCUACACAAGGAGAGGAGGAUGGUCAUUGUCAAUUUCUGACCAGCGAACGGGCAGAAAGCUACACAAGAAGAUGAGGAUGGUCAUUGUCAUUUUCUGAGCUGCGAACGGGCAGAAAGCUACACAAGGAGAUGAGGAUGGUCAUUGUCAUUUUCUGAGCUGCGAACGGCCAGAAAGGUGAGAAC